rnacentral:rRNA from 1 species
UACGGAGGAUCCGAGCGUUAUCCGGAUUUAUUGGGUUUAAAGGGUGCGCAGGCGGGAGAUUAAGUCGGCGGUGAAAUUUUGCAGCUCAACUGUAAAAGUGCCUUCGAAACUGGUUUCCUUGAGUGUGGAUGAAGUAGGCGGAAUUUGUGGUGUAGCGGUGAAAUGCAUAGAUAUCACGAGGAACUCCGAUUGCGCAGGCAGUUACUAACUACUACUGACGCUCAGGCACGAAGGCGUGGGGAGUCAAACAGGAUUAGAUACCCCUCGUAGU